rnacentral:rRNA from 1 species
UUAAGCGACUAAGCGUACACGGUGGAUGCCCUGGCAGUCAGAGGCGAUGAAGGACGUGCUAAUCUGCGAAAAGCGUCGGUAAGGUGAUAUGAACCGUUAUAACCGGCGAUGUCCGAAUGGGGAAACCCAGUGCAAUUCGUUGCACUAUCGUUAACUGAAUACAUAGGUUAACGAGGCGAACCGGGGGAACUGAAACAUCUAAGUACCCCGAGGAAAAGAAAUCAACCGAGAUUCCCCCAGUAGCGGCGAGCGAACGGGGAGCAGCCCAGAGUCUGAAUCAGCUUGUGUGUUAGUGGAACGGUCUGGAAAGUCCGACGGUACAGGGUGAUAGUCCCGUACACCAAAAUGCACAGGCUGUGAACUCGAAGAGUAGGGCGGGACACGUGGUAUCCUGUCUGAAUAUGGGGGGACCAUCCUCCAAGGCUAAAUACUCCUGACUGACCGAUAGUGAACCAGUACCGUGAGGGAAAGGCGAAAAGAACCCCGGCGAGGGGAGUGAAAAAGAACCUGAAACCGUGUACGUACAAGCAGUGGGAGCACCUUCGGGUGUGACUGCGUACCUUUUGUAUAAUGGGUCAGCGACUUAUAUUCUGUAGCAAGGUUAACCGUAUAGGGGAGCCGCAGGGAAACCGAGUCUUAACUGGGCGUUAAGUUGCAGGGUAUAGACCCGAAACCCGGUGAUCUAGCCAUGGGCAGGUUGAAGGUUGGGUAACACUAACUGGAGGACCGAACCGACUAAUGUUGAAAAAUUAGCGGAUGACUUGUGGCUGGGGGUGAAAGGCCAAUCAAACCGGGAGAUAGCUGGUUCUCCCCGAAAGCUAUUUAGGUAGCGCCUCGUGAACUCAUCUUCGGGGGUAGAGCACUGUUUCGGCUAGGGGGUCAUCCCGACUUACCAACCCGAUGCAAACUACGAAUACCGAAGAAUGUUAUCACGGGAGACACACGGCGGGUGCUAACGUCCGUCGUGAAGAGGGAAACAACCCAGACCGCCAGCUAAGGUCCCAAAGUCAUGGUUAAGUGGGAAACGAUGUGGGAAGGCACAGACAGCCAGGAUGUUGGCUUAGAAGCAGCCAUCAUUUAAAGAAAGCGUAAUAGCUCACUGGUCGAGUCGGCCUGCGCGGAAGAUGUAACGGGGCUAAACCAUGCACCGAAGCUGCGGCAGCGACACUAUGUGUUGUUGGGUAGGGGAGCGUUCUGUAAGCCUGCGAAGGUGGCCUGUGAGGGUUGCUGGAGGUAUCAGAAGUGCGAAUGCUGACAUAAGUAACGAUAAAGCGGGUGAAAAGCCCGCUCGCCGGAAGACCAAGGGUUCCUGUCCAACGUUAAUCGGGGCAGGGUGAGUCGACCCCUAAGGCGAGGCCGAAAGGCGUAGUCGAUGGGAAACAGGUUAAUAUUCCUGUACUUGGUGUUACUGCGAAGGGGGGACGGAGAAGGCUAUGUUAGCCGGGCGACGGUUGUCCCGGUUUAAGCAUGUAGGCGGAGGUUCCAGGUAAAUCCGGUACCUUUUAACGCUGAGGUGUGAUGACGAGGCACUACGGUGCUGAAGUAACAAAUGCCCUGCUUCCAGGAAAAGCCUCUAAGCAUCAGGUAACAUUAAAUCGUACCCCAAACCGACACAGGUGGUCAGGUAGAGAAUACCAAGGCGCUUGAGAGAACUCGGGUGAAGGAACUAGGCAAAAUGGUGCCGUAACUUCGGGAGAAGGCACGCUGGUGUGUAGGUGAAGUCCCUGCGGAUGGAGCUGAGACCAGUCGAAGAUACCAGCUGGCUGCAACUGUUUAUUAAAAACACAGCACUGUGCAAACACGAAAGUGGACGUAUACGGUGUGACGCCUGCCCGGUGCCGGAAGGUUAAUUGAUGGGGUUAUCCGUAAGGAGAAGCUCUUGAUCGAAGCCCCGGUAAACGGCGGCCGUAACUAUAACGGUCCUAAGGUAGCGAAAUUCCUUGUCGGGU